GGAAUGCAAGGCAAUUUUGGCAUAUGGGUGAAUUCAGUGGACUGGUGUUUACAACUAAUUGAUCACAACCAGUUAUAGGUUUCUUUAUUCCUUCUCCACUCAAACUGCUUCACUUAAACAGUCCUUUU
rnacentral:Y_RNA from 1 species